rnacentral:misc_RNA from 1 species
UCUCCGCUCCAUCUGGCAUCUGCUCCUUGCUUGCUUCCUUCAUAGUAAAUUAAAAUGGAACAACCGCCAAUCCCGAAUGCUACCCCUCAAACCCCAUCCAAGGAUAACAACAAACCCUCCAAGAAGAAGCACCCGUCUCCGCUCCAUCUGGCAUCUGCUCCUUGCUUGCUUCCUUCAUAGUAAAUUAAAAUGGAACAACCGCCAAUCCCGAAUGCUACCCCUCAAACCCCAUCCAAGGAUAACAACAAACCCUCCAAGAAGAAGC